rnacentral:pre_miRNA from 1 species
UAACUUUGUCCUAAGUCAAAGUUCUUAAAGUUUGACCAAGUUUAUAGAACAAUAUACUAACAUCUACAAUAUCAAAUAAGCAUAAUAUGAUAAUACAUAUCAUGGCGGGUCUAAUAAAACUGAUUUAGAGUUGUAGGUGUUGAUAGAUUUUUCUAUAAACUUGGUCUAACUUUAAUAAGUUUGACUUAAGAUAAAAUUAG